GCGCUGCGAUUUCCUGAUUUCCCAGAAGACCAUCGCUGGGACGGAAUGCGCGCAAUACAUCGAGCCCCCGCGACAACGCGAUAACAAAACUGCGAUCCGUCGCAGAUUUCUUUGGUGGGCGUUUCAUUCGUCAAACCGCAUACGUGGUCUUCGUUGACAAAGGACGUGCUUCAAAAUAUCCCUCCGUGUCAAGAUGUGGAAUUUAAUUCCGCACUGCGAAAUAGUCAAAAAAACAAGCGCUACAAGGAGAGUUGUGUGAGCGAAGUGGUCAAGGUUGAACGUCGCGACGCGGUUGCAAUUGUCA
rnacentral:misc_RNA from 1 species